UACGGGGGGGGUAAGCGUUGUUCGGAAUUACUGGGCGUAAAGGGCGCGUAGGCGGCGCGGUAAGUCACUUGUGAAAUCUCUGAGCUUAACUCAGAACGGCCAAGUGAUACUGCAGUGCUAGAGUGCAGAAGGGGCAAUCGGAAUUCUUGGUGUAGCGGUGGAAAUGCGUAGAUAUCAAGAGGAACACCUGAGGUGAAGACGGGUUGCUGGCUGACACUGACGGCUGAGGCGCGAAGCCAGGGGAGCAACGGG
rnacentral:rRNA from 1 species